GAUGAACGCUAGCGAUAGGCCUAACACAUGCAAGUCGAGGGGCAUCACAUGAAGUAGCAAUACGGAUGGUGGCGACCGGCGCACGGGUGAGUAACACGUAUGCAACCUGCCUUCAACAAGGGGAUAACCCGUUGAAAGACGGACUAAUACCCUAUAACACAGGGGUCCCGCAUGGGAAUAUUUGUUAAAGGACAACCGGUUGAAGAUGGGCAUGCGUUCCAUUAGCUAGUUGGCGGGGUAAAGGCCCACCAAGGCGACGAUCCGUAGCGGGUCUGAGAGGAUGAUCCGCCACACUGGAACUGAGACACGGUCCAGACUCCUACGGGAGGCAGCAGUGGGGAAUAUUGGGCAAUGAGCGAAAGCCUGACCCAGCAACGCCGCGUGAAGGAAGAAGGUUUUCGGAUUGUAAAGCUCUUUCGGACGGAAAGAAAUCGCCGCCUCUAACAUAGGCGGUGGAUGACGGUACCGUAAGAAGAAGCACCGGCUAACUACGUGCCAGCAGCCGCGGUAAUU
rnacentral:rRNA from 1 species